GUUUUUUUGCCCCUUUUUUGUCUUCAGUUCAGUAUUCCUUUGAAUUUUGUUACUAUUUUGAACUUCAAGUCUUAUGCAUGCACGAAAUUUACGCAAAUUCUAGUUGGUUGAUGAAUAACAGAUUCUUAUGUAAUUAAGCAUUAAGUGUAGUGGACUGGUCAUAGAGUAAAGGUGUACAAAAGUCCUGAUUAAUGGACAAGUAACUGGUUCAUAUAUAGUAAAGCAUCAAGGGAUAGUGGAUAGGUUUUAAAUGCAGGUGAUUAAGUUUUAAAUUGCAGGCAAUCAUGUGCCCAUAUUUAAUCUCCGUUUUAGUGGGUUUAUCU